GGCUCCCUUAAGCUCCAGGGUUGAAUAACUGGUACACUGAGCCAUCUUUUCUCGGAGCCCUGCAAAUGGAAUUUGUUAAUUUCUUUGCAGGUGCAGGCACAUUUUAGCAUCCAAAGUUUCCUGAUUCUGAGCAAAGAUUUUCUAAAAGCGCAAAAAAUAUAUCUCUUUUCAGCUCAGAAGCCCCUCACCCUCCAGUCUCAAGUGAAAACCCAGCUAGGAAGCUGGAGAGUGAGCGAGCACCACUCAGUCUCUGCUAUUUCUUUUAAAAAUAAAGUACUAAGUGUUGUGCUGGAAAUUCUGCUCAGUGUCGCAUGUGGUAGGUGUGAAUACAUGCUUUAAUUGUUCUAGGCACUAGACCAAAAACUUCUCCAGAAUUAGCAGGGUUUUCAGCUAUAAUCUGGCUAACAUUUUUCUGCAAAUAGGUAUGAAGACCAGACUGAGUUGCCAUCAACAAUUACAGCUAUUCCUCAUCUAGUCAGGUGAUCAGCCCCGGGGAAGAAUUAUGGCGCCACUGAGAGUUUUCCACUCCUCAAACCUGUAUGUCUUGUCUCUGACGUGAGCAGUCGGUUAUGCCUCCAGGCGGCCCCUUCCUUCUGCACUGCCUUUCAACUGUUAUCUCUGUGCAAUGGGCACAGUUUAUUAUUAUUAUCAUCACUACUAGGGAUCUCAUGAUUGCCCCGUAAAGAAUACUUGAGCAGCAGCCUUAGUUCUGUAGCUAUGAAGAGAAAGGGUGCAGUUGUUGUCCCGUAUGAGAUGGGGUCUGGAGGAGCCGGUCUCCCUCUGAGAGAGGUAAGCCAGGAAAAAGAAUGUUACACAAAGCAUGCAGAUGAGAUGCUUUGUGUAACUGACUCCUGCCUCACAAAGGGAAGACUCUGGGUGAGAAGGCUUUACCAGGUGGCUAAUGGCAGUGACUUGGAGUACUGUGUCCCCCAUUAAAGGAAACAACUGUGUUAUGGGCUAAAAUGCGUGCUUCCAAAAUUCACCUUACCGUUCUAAUCCCUUGUACCUCAGAGUGUGGUUGUAUUUGGAGAUAGGUUCAUUUUUUUAAAAACUCCGUUCAUUGAUUACUUGUUUAUUUGUUGUGUGUAUGCACUUAUGGAGGCCAGAGGACAACUUGUAGGAGUUGGCCUUCCACUUUUUGGGUUCCAGGGAUCAAAUUUAGACGAUGAUCAGUUUUGAUGAUCAGUUUUGGCAACAAGCACCUGCUGAGCCAUGUCAUCAGGCCCACGUGACAGGUUCUUUAGAGACAUAAUUGUGUCUCAGUGAGGUAAGCCUUAAUCUAGGGUAACUGGCCUGGAACAGAUGAAAGGUUGACAGAAAUGUGUAUAGAGCGAGACCAUAUAAAGAUACAAGGACAAGGAACCAGAUGCAAGGAUCAGAGGCCCGAUAUAAACCAAGGAAAGAUCCUCAACCCUGCUGAUAACCUUGGUCUCAGAUGUGAGACUCCAACUGUGAGGUGAUUGCCUUUGUUUAAACUGCUAGAUUUUGUGGCAUUUGAUUGUGGCAGUUCCAUCAAACUAAAGCAAGUUGGUAUGUGGCAGGAGCCAAUUAUGUGCAUCCAUUUGGAGAUACAGAUCCCAUGUCAACAGAUUUUCCAGUGUGAGAGUCUUUUAUUUUUAAAUUUUGGCACGAGAGCUGGCUUUAUGGGUGUGCAACAUAAGCAGUCACACAAGAUCCAUGACUUAGAAGCGGUCCAUGUUUGUCUUGAUGUGCUGCUCUCUCCAGCUUCAAAUUCUUAAUUUCCAACAGGGAUCUUGUCUUUUCAUAUGUGACUAGGCCUCUGGACAUCAUGGAACUAGUCUAGUGACAAAUGAUAUGAAAUGCAAGUGAUGUGUAUAUUAAGAUUAUGGGAGCCCAAAUAAAACAUGGCUGGGGGCUACAGUGACCUUGGGAUAUUGCAUUGAAUUUUUUGUUCUAACUGCAUUAAGAUUUUCCAUCCCUAAUAAUCACUGGGAAAGAAUUUAUAGAACCCAGAAUUUUGCCAGGGAUGGAAGGAAAACCACAGAUAUGAUUCUUUUAGAUGAACUAAUGUGGCCCAGGCUGUUGUUGUUAUUGUUUGGGUUUUGGGUUUUUUGUUUGUUUAUUUGUUUGUUUUAGAGUUCAGCUCUAAGAACCUUACAAGUAUCAUUUUAUCGUUUCUUUUUUUUAAAAUUGGAUUAAUUUUUAAUCUCUGUGUGUAGGGUAUGCAUAUCCAUGUUUGUGUGUAGACACAUGUAUAUGUACAGGCCAGAGGUCAGGCGUCUUCCUCAAUCUCUCUUCACCUUAUUUUUGAGACAGUGGCUCAUACUAAAUAGAGAGCUCAUGCAUGGUCUACAGUGGCUGCCCAGGGGAUUCUGGGGAUCCUCCCGUCUCUCCCCUUACUCCCAGCACCAAGAUUAAAGACACAUCAGCACAGGAGACCUUUAUGUAGGUACUGGGAAUCCAGAUUAGGUCCCCAGGCAUUCAUGGCAGUACUUUGUCAACUGAACUCUUCCCUCAGACCCUCAGUGAGACUUUGGGGGUGAGUGGAACACUUUGGCUUAAAAGCGGUAUGUUUGUGUGUCAAGCUGAUAAAGGGUUAAGUGUUAUGUUUAGCUCUAACUGUCAAUUUGACAUAAACUCUAAUCGCACGGGAAUACAGUUCCAAUAAGGGAUGGUGUACAUUGGGUUAGUACAGAGGAUUACCUUAAUUAAGCUUAUUGAUGUGGGAAGACCAAGCCCACUGUGGGUCCAACCAUUGCCACAGCAGAUGUUCGGAACUGUGUGAGCGAAGAAAGCCACUUGAGCAUAAGCAAGCCAAUGAACAAGUGUGCAUUCACGACUGUGGUCGUGAUGUAACCAGCUGUUUCAGGUUCCUAUUUUGACAUCCCUACAACGAUUGACUAUAACCCUGAAUUAUAGGUUGAAUAAAUCCCUUUCCCUGUAUGGUGUAUAUUACUUUUGGUCAGAGUGUUUUUAUCACAGUAUCAGAAAUAAAACUGAGAUU
rnacentral:lncRNA from 1 species